CAGUCGCCGCGGUAAUACGUAGGGUGCGAGCGUUAAUCGGAAUUACUGGGCGUAAAGCGUGCGCAGGCGGCUUUGCAAGACAGAUGUGAAGUCCCCGGGCUCAACCUGGGAACUGCGCUUGUGACUGCACAGCUAGAGUAUGGCAGAGGGGGGUGGAAUUCCACGUGUAGCAGUGAAAUGCGUAGAGAUGUGGAGGAACACCGAUGGCGAAGGCAGCCCCCUGGGCCAAUACUGACGCUCAUGCACGAAAGCGUGGGGAGCAAACAGGAUUAGAUACCCGUGUAGUCCCUGUCUCUUAUAC
rnacentral:rRNA from 1 species